UCACACCCGUUCCCAUACCGAACACGGAAGUUAAGCUCUCUAGCGCCGAUGGUAGUUGGGACCUUGUCCCUGUGAGAGUAGGACGUUGCCAGGCU
rnacentral:rRNA from 3 species